GGGCACACCAAGAGUGCAUGCUUAUGCAGUUUGAAAAGAAAACCCAUUGAAGAACAUUCAGAGGAAGUAAAAAUGAUGAAGCAUGUGCUGGCGGCAAUUGUCGGUCUUUGUUUCAGAGGCAGCUGUGGUCUUAGGAGAAAAAAGCACCAGAUGUGAAUCUAGACAGUCUCUUCCUGUGUCAAAUGGAGUUUUGAUGUCACCAUGGAGAUGCUGAUCCCACUGCUUUCCUGGUCCUCUCCUAUUGCUUGCCUGAGCCAUUCCUGAAGCCUCCACCCUCACUCCGUCCGUUCCAUCCCCCACAGCAGCCUUCAGAGGAAUCUUUUAAACAUAUGAGCCUCGUUAACUCCAGUUCUAUGGUUUCUUCACACUAUGAAUACUCAUGAGAUGAAGAACAGCAAAUGCUUAUGAGCAAAGACUCUGG